UGGUUCUGGUUCUGGAAAGCUCUGAAUCUGUUUGAUUCAAUGUUGGCACGGUGGCAGGUGGCUUUAGAACCUUCUGUUUCACCACGGGCAUGGUGGCAGGUGGCUUUAGAUCCUUCUGUUUCACCACGGGCAUGGUGGCAGGCGGCACUGGAUCUUUUUGUUUCGCCGCAGGCACGGUGGCAGGUGGCUUUAGAUCCUUCUGUUUCACCACGGGCAUGGUGGCAGGUGGCUUUAGAUUCUUCUGCACCACGGGCAUGGUGGCAGGUGGCACUGGAUCUUUUUGUUUCAAAGUUGGCAUGCUUGCAGGUGGUGUCGGAUCUUUUUCUUUCACAACUGGAAUGUUUGCCGGUAGUGUUGCAUCUUU
rnacentral:lncRNA from 1 species